rnacentral:tRNA from 1 species
GGGGGCUUAACUCAGCGGGAGAGUGCUACCUUCACACGGUAGAAGUCACUGGUUCAAAUCCAGUAGCCCCCACCA